rnacentral:rRNA from 1 species
AGAAUGAACGCUGGCGGCAUGCCUAACACAUGCAAGUCGAACGAAGGCUUCGGCCUUAGUGGCGCACGGGUGCGUAACGCGUGGGAAUCUACCCUUAGGUUCGGAAUAACAGUUGGAAACGACUGCUAAUACCGGAUGAUGACGUAAGUCCAAAGAUUUAUCGCCUAGGGAUGAGCCCGCGUAGGAUUAGCUAGUUGGUGUGGUAAAGGCGCACCAAGGCGACGAUCCUUAGCUGGUCUGAGAGGAUGAUCAGCCACACUGGGACUGAGACACGGCCCAGACUCCUACGGGAGGCAGCAGUGGGAAUAUUGGACAAUGGGCGAAAGCCUGAUCCAGCAAUGCCGCGUGAGUGAUGAAGGCCUUAGGGUUGUAAAGCUCUUUUACCCGGGAUGAUAAUGACAGUACCGGGAGAAUAAGCUCCGGCUAACUCCGUGCCAGCAGCCGC